rnacentral:rRNA from 1 species
UACGGGGGGGGGCAAGCGUUUGUUCGGAAUUACUGGGCGUAAAGGGCUCGUAGGCGGCCAACUAAGUCAGACGUGAAAUCCCUCGGCUUAACCGGGGAACUGCGUCUGAUACUGGAUGGCUCGAGUUUGGGAGAGGGAUGCGGAAUUCCAGGUGUAGCGGUGAAAUGCGUAGAUAUCUGGAGGAACACCGGUGGCGAAGGCGGCAUCCUGGACCAACACUGACGCUGAGGAGCGAAAGCCAGGGGAGCAAACGGG